rnacentral:rRNA from 1 species
AGCGAACGCUGGCGGCAGGCCUAACACAUGCAAGUCGAACGAACUCUUCGGAGUUAGUGGCGGACGGGUGAGUAACACGUGGGAACGUGCCUUUAGGUUCGGAAUAACUCAGGGAAACUUGUGCUAAUACCGAAUGUGCCCUUCGGGGGAAAGAUUUAUCGCCUUUAGAGCGGCCCGCGUCUGAUUAGCUAGUUGGUGAGGUAAAGGCUCACCAAGGCGACGAUCAGUAGCUGGUCUGAGAGGAUGAUCAGCCACAUUGGGACUGAGACACGGCCCAAACUCCUACGGGAGGCAGCAGUGGGGAAUCUUGCGCAAUGGGCGAAAGCCUGACGCAGCCAUGCCGCGUGAAUGAUGAAGGUCUUAGGAUUGUAGAAUUCUUUCACCGGGGACGAUAAUGACGGUACCCGGAGAAGAAGCCCCGGCUAACUUCGUGCCAGCCGCCGCAGUAA